GACGAACGCUGGCGGUGUGCUUAACACAUGCAAGUCGAACGGUAAGGCCCUUUCGGGGGUACACGAGUGGCGCACGGGUGAGUAACACGUGAGUAACCUGCCCUCAUCUCUGGGAUAACAGUCGGAAACGGUUGCUAAUACUGGAUAUGAGCUUGCAAGGCAUCUUGUGGGUUGGAAAGAUUUUUUUUGGUUGGGGAUGGACUCGCGGCCUAUCAGCUUGUUGGAGAGGUAGUGGCUCACCAAGGCUUCGACGGGUAGCCGGCCUGAGAGGGCGACCGGACACAUUGGGACUGAGAUACGGCCCAAACUCCUACGGGAGGGAGCAGUGGGGAAUAUUGCACAAUGGACGGAAGUCUGAUGCAGCAACGCCGCGUGCGGGAUGACGGCCUUCGGGUUGUAAACCGCCUUCAAGUGUGACGAAGCUUUUUUGUGACGGUAGCAGUAGAAGAAGCACCGGCUAACUACGUG
rnacentral:rRNA from 1 species